CCAAGGCUUUCUUACCUGGGUGUGUGGACUUGAAGAAACUGUUAAUUUUCGGUCAAUCUGUCCUUUCUGCUUGCCUUUGUGGAAGAGCGGCAUGAGACCACCAGUGGUUAUUCCUACCUACUCAGUGGCCGGAGCAGUGGGAGCCGCAGACCAGUCUUCGGUGGCCAGCUGGGGGCUCCAGGCCCCAGGAGGGGACGCUGACUAGGUGCAGAGCAUACCUGCCCACCUUCAGACCAGUCUGCCGCUUCAGGUUGAGUACCAGUGAAUUCAGGAGCUGGAGCAGUGCACUCCCCCUGGAAUUCCUCCUUGGCCACAGCCUUUUCAGCGGCAGCCUGCUCUUCCUUUCCAAUCUCAGCAGGAUCUCUGAAGAGGACAUCAGGGUUCUCCGGACAUUGUGAAGGCUUCCCUUUAAGCUACGAUGGGAACACAGAGCAACGCUGCACGGACCUGUCACUGGGUAGCAUGGAAAAGCCUUCACCAAAUGUUUUCACCCUUGUUUUUCUUUACCUAAAAUAUCUCGGAGGUUUUCCAUAUAGUUACAUAAAACUAUCCUUUUCCUUUUUAUUUAACAGUUGUAUACUAUUCCAUUCUCUGGAUUAAUAUAAUUUAUGUAAUUGGUGGGAUUGUUUCUAAUACUUUCCUUUUACAAGCAAUAUUAUGAUGAGUAAUACUGUAGUUACAUCAUUUCUCAUAUCCUUGAGCAUAUCUGUGGAAUAAACACCUGCAGUUGAAAUGCUGGGUUGUGAGU
rnacentral:lncRNA from 12 species